GAAGAAACAAAUUAUGGAUUUCCAUGUCCAAAAUUUGACUGUCCGUCUUAUAUAAUUUUUUUUAUAAUUAGUAUUUUAAUUGUUGUUAGAUGAUAAAAUAUGAUUAAUACUUUAUGCGCGAUUUGUCUUUUUAUUUUUUUUCAUAUUUUUUUUAAAUAAGAUGUCAAAUGUUGGAUACGGAAACCUAGGUUUGUCUUUUUU
rfam:Oryza glaberrima chromosome 4 Oglab04_0270_5, whole genome shotgun sequence.